GGCGCGGCGCGGCACCCGGGACCUGGCAGCAGCACCGCGGCGGGGCGCCCCGGGACCGGCCCGCCACCCACCCGUCCACCUACCCACUCCUCCCGGAACGGAACGGGCAGCGCAGCUCCCAGCUCGUGCUAAAAUGAAACUUGGGAAGGAUUCGCCUACCUGGGAGCUGCCCGGGCUCGGUCCUACUUCACUUACAGUACGGCGCUUAUCCUGUAAACAAAUAUCGCUCCGCCAGGAAACAUAACUCCCCCUCCCCGCCCCGGCCCCGCUG